rnacentral:misc_RNA from 1 species
CUGCACCAGGAAAACCUGUCCGGAUUCUACGGACGAUGAUUUCAACGCGGAUGGUACUCCGAAAGUUCAGCGUCCUUCAAACCCGCUACUCCGUACUAAAAGAGGCGUUGACGCUUAGUUUGGUCCGCAGAUCAGUCACGUUUCUUGAACAAGCAUUACGAAUCAUAUGAAUUCCUUACUUGGUGAAUGAGAAACUAAAUGUGAAGUAUUUUGUACAAUCAAUAUGAUUUACUGUAGACUGUGUGUGAUAAACCAAUAAACAAAUG